AUACUGGUUGAUUCUGCCAGAGGCUACUGCCAUCAGAGUUCGAUUAAGCCAUGUUAGUUAAGGGGACCUUCCUUCGGGGAGGUAACCCGGCAGACGGCUCAGUAACACGUGGACAAUUUACCCUUGGGACCGGGAUAACCCCUGGGAAACUGGGGCUAAUACUGGAUAGAGCAUCGGCUGCUGGAAUGCGCGAUGUUCGAAAGCUGAGGCGCCCAAGGAUAGGUCUGCGGCUGAUUAGGUUGUUGUUGAUGUAACGGAUCAACAAGCCUGCGAUCGGUACGGGUUGUGAGAGCAAUAGCCCGGAGAUGGGUUCUGAGAAAAGAACCCAGGUCCUACGGGACGCAUCAGGCGCGAAAACUUUACAAUGUGCGAAAGCGCGAUAAGGGAACUCUGAGUGCCCCCUAAGGAGGCUGUUCAGGUGUCUAAAAAGCAUCUGGAGUAAGGGCUGGGCAAGACCGGUGCCAGCCGCCGCGGUAACACCGGCAGCUCAAGUGGUAGCCAUGCUUAUUGGGUCUAAAGCGUCCGUAGCCGGCUGAGUAAGUUCCUUGGGAAAUUUGACCGCUUAACGGUUAAGCUAUCAGGGAAUACUGCUUGGCUUGGGACCGGGAGAGGUCAGAGGUACUCCAGGGGUAGGGGUGAAAUCUAUUAAUCCUUGGGGGACCACCGGUAGCGAAGGCGUCUGACCAGACCGGGUCCGACGGUGAGGGACGAAGGCUGGGGUCGCGAACCGGAUUAGAUACCCGGGUAGUCCCAGCUGUAAACGAUGCGGGCCAGGUGUUGGCAUUACUGCGAGUGAUGUCAGUGCCAAAGGGAAGCCGUUAAGCCCGCCAUCUGGGGAGUACGGUCGCAAGGCUGAAACUUAAAGGAAUUGGCGGGGGAGCAC
rnacentral:rRNA from 1 species